rnacentral:snRNA from 9 species
AAGCUUACCUGUCGGUGAUUUCAGGGUGGCUAGCAAGGCUCUAACUCCAGGUGGAGGCUCAGCAUUGCAUUCCGCUGUGUUGAGGCCUGCAACGGACUACAAGCGGGUUUGCUUGGGUGCACAGUUUUUGCCAGUAAUGAGCACUCGGGCAUCCCUUUA